CGUGUGGUGCCGGCGCAGGUUUUACCUGGCGCGGGAGAGCGACACGGCCUUUACUGAGGU
rfam:Pantoea sp. PSNIH2, complete genome.